rnacentral:rRNA from 1 species
GACGAACGCUGGCGGCGUGCCUAAUACAUGCAAGUAGAACGCUGAAGCGAGGAGCUUCCUCUUCUUGGAUGAGUUGCGAACGGGUGAGUAACGCGUAGGUAACCUGCCUUGUAGCGGGGGAUAACUAUUGGAAACGAUAGCUAAUACCGCAUAACAAUGGAUGACACAUGUCAUUUAUUUGAAAGGGGCAAUUGCUCCACUACAAGAUGGACCUGCGUUGUAUUAGCUAGUAGGUGAGGUAAUGGCUCACCUAGGCGACGAUACAUAGCCGACCUGAGAGGGUGAUCGGCCACACUGGGACUGGGACACUGCCCAGACUCCUACGGGAGGCAGCAGUAGGGAAUCUUCGGCAAUGGGGGCAACCCUGACCGAGCAACGCCGCGUGAGUGAAGAAGGUUUUCGGAUCGUAAAGCUCUGUUGUAAGUCAAGAACGGGUGUGAGAGUGGAAAGUUCACACUGUGACGGUAGCUUACCAGAAAGGGACGGCUAACUACGUG